rnacentral:rRNA from 1 species
UACGUAGGGGGCAAGCGUUGUCCGGAGUUAUUGGGCGUAAAGCGCGUGUAGGCGGCCACGCAGGUCCGCUGUGAAAACUCGAGGCUCAACCUCGAGCUGUCGGUGGAAACCGCGUGGCUAGAGUCCGGAAGAGGGGACUGGAAUUCCCGGUGUAGCGGUGGAAUGCGCAGAUAUCGGGAGGAACACCCGUGGCGAAGGCGGGUCCCUGGGACGGUACUGACGCUGAGACGCGAAAGCGUGGGGAGCGAACAGG